rnacentral:rRNA from 1 species
GAUGAACGCAGGCGGCGUGCCUAAUACAUGCAAGUCGAACGCGCAGCGAAAGGUGCUUGCACCUUUCAAGCGAGUGGCGAACGGGUGAGUAACACGUGGAUAACCUGCCUCAAGGCUGGGGAUAACAUUUGGAAACAGAUGCUAAUACCGAAUAAAACUUAGUAAGGCAGGAUACAAAGUUAAAAGGCGCUACGGCCUAUCCUAGGGAUGGAUCGGCGGUGCAUUAGUUAGUUGGUGGGGUAAAGGCUUACCAAGACGAUGAUGCAUAGCCGGGUUGAGAGAAUGAUCGGCCACAUUGGGACUGAGACACGGCCCAAACUCCUACGGGAGGCUGCAGUAGGGAAUCUUCCACAAUGGGCGCAAGCCUGAUGGAGCAACGCCGCGUGUGUGAUGAAGGCUUUCGGGUCGUAAAGCGCUGUUGUAUGGGAAGAAAUGCUAAAAUAGGGAAUGAUUUUAGUUUGACGGUACCAUACCAGAAAGGGACGGCUAAAUACGUGCCAGCAGCCGCAGUAACAC